rnacentral:tRNA from 1 species
UCCUGACGGCCGGAAUCGAACCAGCGACCACUCGAU